GUACACUCCUGCGGGAGGCAUCAGUGGGGAAUAUUGAACAAUGGGCGCAAGCCUGAUCCAGCCAUGCCGCGUGAGUGAUGAAGGCCCUAGGGUUGUAAAGCUCUUUCACCGAUGAAGAUAAUGACGGUAACCGGAGAAGAAGCCCCGGCUAACUUCGUGCCAGCAGCCGCGGUAAUACGAAGGGGGCUAGCGUUGUUCGGAUUUACUGGGCGUAAGCGCACGUAGGCGGACUAUUAAGUCAGGGGUGAAAUCCCGGGGCUCAACCCCGGAACUGCCUUUGAUACUGGUAGUCUUGAGUUCGAGAGAGGUGAGUGGAAUUCCGAGUGUAGAGGUGAAAUUCGUAGAUAUUCGGAGGAACACCAGUGGCGAAGGCGGCUCACUGGCUCGAUACUGACGCUGAGGUGCGAAAGCGUGGGGAGCAAACAGGAUUAGAAACCCUAGUAGUCCCAUGAU
rnacentral:rRNA from 1 species